AAUAACGUGUUCAAAAAAUAAAAGCUGUGCCCACAGGCAGAGGCUAUUGAGCUGAACUGUAUUUCUGUGGAAGGGAACAAGAGAAUUUUGCUCCUUGGAUUUUAAGAUUUACCCUUCCAUACUCUGCACUGGGAACCUGUGACUUGGUGAACUGCAGCAAGUGAUCAAAACCAUUGAGGAAGAGUGACCAGGAUAUGUGUUGCUGCGUCCUUAUCUUGUUGAGAUAUCAUCUAGUGUCCUACCCAGUAUAUCUUGCACUCACAAUUUUUGACUGGGCUCUGCGUUCAUCCAUUCCUGGGGCUUCUGUUCUGCCAGACAGUUUCUAACUGCUUAGUUCAGUACCAUCAAAAUCUGAUUUCUGAAGACUCGGUGCAGUUCUGCGUUGUGCCAUGACUGACAGGUCAUUCUCUUAUUGCUGCAUGUGAAGAUCACUCUUGCUGAACGCAGCCGUUCAAAGCACACUGUGAUGGGAAGUUUGCCUAGUCGGAAGAAACAGAUUGCUACCGAGCCAAGCCAGCAGCCAAAUACACAGAACGACCAGGCCCUUGACUCCGGCUGUGGCAGCAGGACAACAGGUGCCAGCACCUCUAUAGUGGUUGCAGUCUGUAAUUUUCCUUCUGGGCAUGCACAGCCAAUACUCAGGAUGGGAGAACAACUGAAUUUACUGUCUGAAGAUGGUGAAUGGUGGAAAGUGGAAUCAGUUGUAACUGGAAAAGACUGCUAUAUUCCCAGCAACCAUGUAGCUAAAAUCUCUCACAGGUGGCUUUAUGAGGGUAUCAACCGAGCAAAAGCUGAGGAGCUGUUGCUGCUCCCUCCCAACCGUGAAGGCUCUUUCUUGAUAAGAGAAAGCCAAAUGAGGAAAGCAGGUGGCUACUCUUUAUCUAUCAGGCACACCAAUCGUGAAUCCUGGGAUUGUGUGAAACACUAUCGCAUUAAUUGCCUGGCCAACAACUGGCUUUAUAUCUCUCCCCGUCUCACAUUUCCAAGUUUGCAAGACUUGGUGGACUAUUACUCUGAAACUGGGGAUGGCUUAUGUUGCUGCUUGAAGGAGCCAUGCUUCAUUCAAAGAUGUAUUCCAAACCUCCCUCAUAACUUUUCCAAACCUGUGGUAAUGAAAAAGCCAGCUCUCAAUUGGCAGGAGCUCAGCAGGUGGAAGAGCCCUGUCGGAUGCAUCAAAAAGCUCAAGGAAUACUGGAAAGGAUUACGCCCUGGUAGAAGCCACUAAGGUGGAGAAAAGCCAGAACACUCCAGAUCAGCCCUUCCCAGCAAGAGGGUUAUACAACAAUACAUCCACAAGAGACGAUCCCUAUGAUCAGAAAUCAGGGAUUUCUUAUUUGACAUCAAAGAACUUACGAUAGUCAUAACAGGCUACCUGAUGAAAGCACAACAGCUUCCUGUAGCGGAAAGUGAACUCCUGCGGAGGCAGAGAAAGGACAAUUCCAUACAAGAGCCUGACCGGACUUCGUUGGAUGACAAGGAAAGACCAACCGAAGCCACAGAGCCCCCAAGUGGAACAACAAUAAGCUCAGCUGUGAACAGUGGCGGAAAAGGCCUGGGUAUAGGUGCACCAACAGUUAGGCUGAAGGGGAGAAGGAAAAACACUGUUAGGUCUGGUAGUAAGGUGGCCAAUCCCUUGCAGGGGAAGGUAAAGAAAGUCAAGAAAGCUCAGACCUGUUAGCAGAAAGUCCACCUCUUGAAGACUCUCCAAUCAGUCUAGGCCUGCGGGAAGCUGUCACUUCUUAUCU